UGGGACGUAGGCAAGUGGUAAGCCACCUGGUUUUGGUCCAGGCACUCGCAGGUUCGAAUCCUGCCGUCCCAG
rnacentral:tRNA from 1 species